UACAGAGGCCCCAAGCGUUACUGAGAAUCACUGGGUUUAAAGGGUGCGUAGGUGGUCCGUUAAGUCCGUUGUGAAAUCCCUGGGCUCAACCCAGGAAAUGCUUCGGAUACUGGCGGACUUGAGGCUAGUAUGGGUCACUGGAACUGACGGUGGAGCGGUGAAAUGCGUAGAUAUCGUCAGGAACGCCAAUGGUGAAGACAGGUGACUGGGCUAGUUCUGACACUGAGGCACGAAAGCGUGGGGAGCGAACGGG
rnacentral:rRNA from 1 species